AUAAAUAUGGUCUUUCAAAGAGCUAAGACCCUGAAGAGCAAACUUCUGAAACAAUACAGCAAGGAGUAUGCAGGAUACCUGGCAUAUCAGAAGGAAGGAGAAGAGGAGGAGGCAGAAAACAAUGCAUUCUGGGCAGAUAUAAGAAACACCAUCAGAAACCUCCCAGACUUUGGCAAAUAGAGUUCUCUUGUGGACAGACUGGUGAAUGGAGGUGAUAAGCAUCGGAGUGGAAAGGUGGGCCCAGCCUGGCACUGACAUCUGAAAAGGCUGAAGAUUCUUCAGAAGGAAUCCUUCCUAUUAAACCAUCAGUGGUCCGUGACCCACAGGAAGUCUUUGGAGAGAUCACCACAUCAUCAGACACACAUUGUGGGGAGACUAAGGUGGAGGAAAUCCCAGGUGCUUAUUCUAAUUAACACCAUCUGCUCUUAAAAGAUAUACUGACUCCACUGUUGAGAUUCUAAGACUAACUGCCAAGAAGCAACCUCAAGCGCCAGAGUUUGAAGAAAUUCCACACCAUACACUGCAUGUGAGUGUCAUCUAUUAUGAUUUGCCAUCCCAUUUUAGUCUGAAUUCUUCAGCAAAUCUAAUGUUGGGAAAGCAAUGAAAUCACCCUGCAUUCAUUUAUAAUAAUUUUUCUAUCUUGGAUGUUGUCCCACAGGUACUAGUGGUUUUUGGUUUUAGCACAACAGCCCCCUAGUUACUCAAAAUGUUUGGCCUGAAAAGACCUAACUUGUGAUAGAUUCAUCUCCCUUCUCAAUUCUACUGUUCCUUUGCAUCAUUAGGUCAGUGUUUAAUAAUUGGAUCAAGAGAGACAAGAGGGAGGUACAUAUAAAGGGGCAAGAAGAAGGAGUGGAUGGAGGAGGAUGAGAGGAAGAGGAGGAGGAGCAAGAAAGGAUGGAGGAUAAUGAGGACUAUGAAUAGGAAGAAAAGAUCCAAGAGGAGGACAACAGAGACAGUGAUGACCACGAAUAGGAGGAAAAGUUCCAUAUGUUCUCUACAGGAAGACAAGAUGUGCAGAAAAGAGAAGAGCCAGAAGGGGAG